rnacentral:rRNA from 1 species
UAAGGAAUAUUGGCCAAUGGACGCAAGUCUGAACCAGCCAUGCCGCGUGAAGGAUGAAGGUCCUCUGGAUUGUAAACUUCUUUUAUCUGGGACGAAAACGGGAUUUUUAUCUCAAUUGACGGUACCAGAGGAAUAAGCACCGGCUAACUCCGUGCCAGCAGCCGCGGUAAUACGGAGGGUGCGAGCGUUAUCCGGAUUUACUGGGUUUAAAGGGUGCGUAGGUGGGCUUAUAAGUCAGUGGUGAAAUCUCCGAGCUUAACUUGGAAACUGCCGGUGAUACUAUAAGUCUUGAAUUAUCUGGAGGUAAGCGGAAGAUGUCAUGUAGCGGUGAAAUGCUUAGAUAUGACAUAGAACACCAAUUGCGAAGGCAACUUACUACAUAUAAAUUGACGCUGAGGCACGAAAGCGUGGGGAUCAAACA